GAUGAAGGCACCUGUUUACUUUGAGCGAUACGAAGUGCGUGGUGAUAUGAAGUGUAUGCCGGAGGAAGUAAUUGAUUCGAUUAAGAAGAAUAAGGUUUGUCUGAAAGGAGGGCUAAGGACUCCGGUUGGCGGAGGUGUUAGUUCGCUAAAUGUGCAAAUGAGGAAAGAGCUUGAUUUGUACGCUUCCAUUGUGCAUUGUUUUACUCUGCCAGGGUUGCCUACGCGGCAUGAGGAUGUGGAUAUUGUUGUGAUUAGGGAGAAUACUGAGGGAGAGUAUGCUGGCCUUGAGCAUGAGGUUGUUCCUGGUGUCGUUGAGAGCCUUAAGGUGAUAACAAAAUAUUGCUCAGAACGAAUAGCAAAAUUUGCGUUUGAGUAUGCUCAUGUGAACAAAAGAAAGAAGGUCACAGCUGUGCACAAAGCCAACAUUAUGAAACUUGCAGAUGGUCUAUUCUUAGAAUCCUGUAGGGAAGUUGCAGCUAAAUAUCCAGAAAUACAGUAUGAGGAGAUUAUUGUGGAUA
rnacentral:misc_RNA from 1 species